AGUUAUCUUCAGGGCAGGGUGUGAGUCCCUACCGGCGGUAAAGCCCGCGAGCCAUAAUUGGCAGAUUCGGUUAGAUUCCGAAGCCGACAGUAUAGUCUGGAUGGAAGAAGGUAUAU
rnacentral:ncRNA from 1 species